GUGAGGAAUAUUGGUCAAUGGGCGAGAGCCUGAACCAGCCAAGUAGCGUGCAGGAUGACGGCCCUAUGGGUUGUAAACUGCUUUUACACGGGGAUAAAGUGUGCGACGUGUCGUUCAUUGCAGGUACCGUGCGAAUAAGGACCGGCUAAUUCCGUGCCAGCAGCCGCGGUAAUACGGAAGGUCCGGGCGUUAUCCGGAUUUAUUGGGUUUAAAGGGAGCGUAGGCCGUCUGUUAAGCGUGUUGUGAAAUGUAGAUGCUCAACAUCUGAAUUGCAGCGCGAACUGACCGACUUGAGUGCGCAGGAAGUAGGCGGAAUUCGUGGUGUAGCGGUGAAAUGCUUAGAUAUAGGAAGGAACACCAGUGGCGAAGGCGACCACCUGGGCUCAUACUGACACUGAGGUGCGAAAGCGUGGGGAGCAAACAGGAUUAGAUACCCGAGUAGUCC
rnacentral:rRNA from 1 species